rnacentral:rRNA from 1 species
GACGAACGCUGGCGGCGUGCUUAACACAUGCAAGUCGAACGGUGAAGCGCCUUCCUUUUUGGUGGGUGUGGAUGAGUGGCGAACGGGUGAGUAACACGUGAGUAACCUGCCCCCUUCUUCUGGAUAACCGCAUGAAAGUGUGGCUAAUACGGGAUAUUCUGGGUCUGUCGCAUGAUGGGUCUGGGAAAGAUAUUGUUUCGGUGGGGGAUGGGCUCGCGGCCUAUCAGCUUGUUGGUGGGGUGAUGGCCUACCAAGGCGGUGACGGGUAGCCGGCCUGAGAGGGUGGACGGUCACACUGGGACUGCGACACGGACCAGACUCCGACGGGAGGCAGCAGUGGGGAAUAGUGCACAAUGGGCGCAAGCCUGAUGCAGCGACGCCGCGUGAGGGAUGGAGGCCUGCGGGUUGUGAACCUCUUUCGCCAGUGAAGCAGGCCUGCCUCGUUUGUGGGUGGGUUGACGGUAGCUGGAUAAGAAGCGCCGGCUAACUACGUG